ACAUGCUAGGAGAAAAUAUGUAAGUUUUGCUUUAUAACUUUGAAAAUGUUUGCUCUGAACUUGUGAACUCGGGGACUGGAAUCAUCCCCUCCAAUCAUCCAGAAGGACUGUCAAAAUCAGAUGGACCUUCAAGGAUCAGUGCAAUACAAAGGGUUGGUUAAUGGCCCUAUCACACCCCUGAAGGAGCAUGGGCUAGUCUACACUAGAAGCACUACAGUGGCGCAGCUGCAUGGCUAUAGCGCGUCUGGUGAAGGAUACUCUUUGCCGACGGGGGAAAGCUCUCCCGUUAGCAUAAUAAAGCCAUCUUCCCGAGAGGUGGUAGCUAUUUUGGUGGGAGAAGCUCUCCAAUUGACAUUACACUGUCCAUACUAGCAUUUAGGUUGCUGUAACUUAUGUUUCUUGGAGGGGUGGAUGGCUUAUUCACACCCCUGAGCAUGACCUAAGUUAUCCUGAUAUAACCUGUAGUGUAGGCAAACCCUAGGUGCAGAAGGCCUUAUCCCAUCCCUUUGAAUGCUAGAAGAGGGAAAUAAGCAUAGUUGAUUUGAAAAUUUUUCUUUUUGGCUGUUUGAACUCUGAAGGGCCAGAGACUCAGCCAGAGAUCCCCAGGGGUGCCUCCUGGGUCUGCCUUGAAAGACACUUUGAAUUGACAUUUCUACAACACCGUCACUUUAGGUGGUAACUCGUUUGUGUGCAACUGUUUGCUUGCUUUAACCUGUAAAUAACUUAUUCCUUUUCCCUAGUUACAUAGUGUAUUACAGGAUUGGCUACAGGUGUUGUCUUUGCUAUAAGAUCUAGGGUACCACCAGCUGAUCUGGGGUAAGUGACUGGUCUCAGCGUGACAGGUGUCGUAUGAAUUUCCUGCUUCAUUUUCACUCCUGGAAGGGAUGGAAGAAGAAAGUGAUUUCCAGGGGUGCUGGAACAAUUUGUACAAUGCUUAGAGCCGUUGAACUAAAAGGAAUUUCUACUUUGAUGCUGCUAUCAUGUUUUAAAAUACAUGACAUGAUCAGACAUAACAAGGAAUCCAGUCGGUUUAGUUGAUCCUGUCAAGCAAUCCAUACGUAUGGUAUCCCAGAAGCUCUACAGGAAAGAGUGUUCAAAGAAAGAAUAUAAAAAAUAUAGUGGUAAUAUAGAGAUAUUUGGUUUCUGGAGGGGUUGAGGACCCAUAGAUCUAGUUUUUGAGUUGGGAUGAAGGGACGGAAGGUUUUCAACUCUGCAUAGUUUGGCAAACUUUGAAAUUAAUUUGAGAAGUUUUGUAGAGCUGGAUGAAUACCCUGGAAUUUGAAUUUUGCAAACCACCAGGUCAUCCCUUUACCAAAAAACAAGCAAAACCACUCUUUCAAUUCCUCUUUCCUUGAUCAAGAAACCACCAAACCCCAUUCUAAUUCUCUUCCAGUUCUGACUCUAACCUAAACCUUUCACAUACAUAUAUUAAAUUCAUUUGGAAUACCCUGGCCUGGAAAAUAAGAGAGACUAUAAAUGUCCACAGACAGACAGAAAAAGUCAGCAGUAUCCUCGGAUUUGCAUAUGACUUUUGAAAAAGAUUUAGCUAAACAUUAGAAGGGAUUUGAGUGAGGUAUUCAAAGUUAUCAAGUGUUUAGUGAAAACUUACCAUUCUCUCUGUUUCACAAAUUAAUAAAGUGAAAAGAAGGGAUACCUUUGUUUUAUAUCCUUAGCAGAAAUGGGUAGAGAAUUCCAUCAGUUUCAUUUUAUUGUUAAUAUGGCAUCAUGUUAAAGAUCUGGAUUAAUAAAUAUGAACUAUUGUCUAAGAAUUUGUCAGUGACAGUUACCUAAAAUUUAUGCAUUUAAUUUUCUUAUUGCAGCAAAACUUCACUAGGAAAACCUCAACAGUUCUGUGUUUAGAAAGCCACUAUUUGGCAAGCUCCAUGAAUCCCAGUUACAAUGGGUCACUUUAAUCAACGUCGCUCUGACACUCGUAUGUUUAUUAGAGGAGAAGCAAAGGGGAAUUCCCAGUCUGUUGCUGGAAGGCCUGGAACCAGUGAGCCAUAUGUUUCUGGACCAUCUGGAUCGUCUGAUCGGACAUCCUGGAGCCAGCACCUUGGAAAUAAUUUCUGAUUAUUCAAACUUUUUCUAGGGUACUAUAGAUGCAAAGG